UAUAGGAUCAGGGUUCUUGCAGUGUCAGGGAUUUAAGACUUUUUAACUCCCCCUCCCCCGCCUUUUUUCCUUGCUUGUCUGAACAGCUCUGGGCUCCCCCGGCAUCACUUCAGUGCAAGGACCCGUCUGACACUACUUAUGCCAGGUCCUGCCUCCCUCACAGGAGAAGCAGUCUGCAACUUUUGCUGCUCUAGACAACACUUCAUCUCCGAGAGGCAGAGCUCUGCAGAGCGGAUCUGGGGUGAAGUGGUACCUUGGUGUGUCAUCGUGUCUUGGCUGUAGGAUGAAGGAGAUCAAGAUGACACUCAGUGAAGAUGAUAGAGGCAGAGCAUGAUCUAACGUACAGGGAGAAUGCAACAUACAUGCAACAUGCAGGGAGAAAAAGGAGGCAGCUAUGAGAAGCAAUGGACACGGGAACAAAUUCAGCUUCAGUGGAAACAGAUACUGCAAAACGAUGGGCUUUCCUGGACUGUGAAGAGCUUGCCACUGUGCCAUGGUCCCCUGCGGAAAAGGAAGGCUGUCUGGAAGUUGCUGAGUUCUGUUUGUUUUUCCCAUCAGGAAGAGAUGGUUUUAAAAGYAGUUUAAGGGAGGUGGAAACCUCAAGCUCACGAGGUAGAAGAGCCCUGACGAACUGUAUGGGCAAAUGCAGGAUGGGUCCGUCCUCUUUCCUGUUGCUGCUGGCCCUGUUCAGCACCUUGCGGCCCUCUCCAGGAGGCUGCACUCCGAACCCUUCCCGGUUUCACUUUGCGAGUGGAAGGUGCUUGGAGAAGGGAGCAAAGGGUUCGUGCCCUUGCAGUGCAAGCUUACGGAAAUCUGUGCCCUGGGCUAAUUUGUUUUUUUUAAUAUUUUUUUUUAUGGGAACUCUUUUAAAAAACAAACAACCCAAAAGGCAAGCAUCUUCCAGAGCCGACGCUUCUCCCCUGCCCCGCCAAGUUGUGCUGUGCACCCUGGCCCCACCUUCUCUCCCUCCCGCUGCAUCUUCAUGUCACCGCAGGGAUGCGAGUGGCAUCGUGGCACUUGGUGAGCGGGGGCAGUGCUGUUUCCUGCUGCAGAAAGGGGACAGCGUCGGUGUAAAUUAGCCCGAUUUUUUGUGGGCAUUGGAAACUUCAGAGGCACUCUAUUCAUUGCUGUUAAAAGUGCUGCAGUAUUGGGUGGUCUGUAUAGAUGUCUUAUAUUAAAAGUAAUAAUAAUAAAAUAYUGCCAGUUUGGUUUUGUUUUCUGUGG
rnacentral:lncRNA from 1 species